rfam:Thermotalea metallivorans strain B2-1 AN619_contig000052, whole genome shotgun sequence.
UCCAUCGUGAGGUGGAAUCUGAAGGAAGCCGGAGGCAAAGUCCC